rnacentral:rRNA from 1 species
GACGAACGCUGGCGGCGUGCUUAACACAUGCAAGUCGAACGGUGAAGUCAAGCUUGCUUGACGGAUCAGUGGCGAACGGGUGAGUAACACGUGAGCAACCUGCCCCUGACUCUGGGAUAACUCCGGGAAACCGGAGCUAAUACCGGAGUAUGAGCUUCCAUCGCAUGGUGGUUGUUGGAAAGUUUUUUCGGUUGGGGAUGGGCUCGCGGCCUAUCAGCUUGUUGGUGGGGUAAUGGCCUACCAAGGCGACGACGGGUAGCCGGCCUGAGAGGGCGACCGGCCACACUGGGACUGAGAUACGGCCCAGACUCCUACGGGAGGCAGCAGUUGGGAAUCUUAGGCAAUGGACGAAAGUCUGACCUAGCGACGCCGCGUGAGGGAAGAAGGCCUUCGGGUUGUAAACCUCUGUCAUGGGGGAAGAAGUAAGUGACGGUACCCCAAGAGGAAGCCCUGCUAACUACGUG